UGAGCACAAAAGUUAAAUAUUAAUUCGUGUUAUCUGAACCAAUGUUCUGAUAUACACAUAAUGUCAAUGUUAAAUUCCUUUAAAAAUAACUCAAUUUCAAGUUCUUCACCUACCAUACCUUGUAAAUUCUGAUGCACCAGAUUAAUUAAAUUACAAUUUUUUGGAUUUUUUAAAUUGUUGGUAGGAAUUUGGACAUUUAAACUUAAUUCAUUACUGCAAGAGACAUCC